UACAGAGGGGGCAAGCGUUAUUCGGAAUUACUGGGCGUAAAGGGCUCGUAGGUGGCCAACUAAGUCAGACGUGAAAUCCCUCGGCUUAACCGGGGAACUGCGUCUGAUACUGGAUGGCUUGAGUUCGGGAGAGGGAUGCGGAAUUCCAGGUGUAGCGGUGAAAUGCGUAGAUAUCUGGAGGAACACCGGUGGCGAAGGCGGCAUCCUGGGUCGGUAUUGACGCUGAGGAGCGAAAGCCAGGGGAGCAAACGGG
rnacentral:rRNA from 1 species